CCUGGCCCCGCCGCCGCCCGGAUCGCCCGGUCGGACCGCCGCGGGGCGAUCGGCCCGAGACGGCGCCCCGCGCCCCGGAUUCACCUCGCCUCGGCCGCGCGUACAUUUCCUUCCUCCACGAUCUCCAACACUGACAAAGUGGAUGAAACUGAGGUGCUGUGAAAGAGAAAAGUAACUGGGACUGAGAGAAAGAGGGGUCAGUCCCUGGAGAAGGACAUCAUACUUUGUAAAGUAGAGGGUCAGCGAAAAAGAGGAAGACCUUCAACAAGAUGGACUGACACAGUAGCUGCAACGCUGGGCUCAAACAUAGCAACAAUUUUGAGGAUGGCGCAGGACUCAGCAAUGUUUCGUUCUGUUGUACAAAGGGUCACUGAGUCAGAAGUGACUCAAUGGCACCUAACAACACAAUAUACUCUCUACCUGGUAUUUACCGUAAAGAGCAUGUAUUCUAUAAUUAAAAAAUAAAUGAAUACAUAGAGUGAGAGUGAGAAGACAGUAUCAUGAAGUUUGGUAUUCCGAAUAGUUCAAAAUGUGCAGGAGGGUAAACCUGGAAGCAGACCACAUACCUCAGGGUUAUGAGGUAGAAUCUAACUCUUUAUCUCCAGGGUUGCUUCCACAUUCCCUCAUCCUGUGUAAAAAAAACCAAAAAACAAAACCCUGUUUCUUUAAGGCUCCCGCAUUCAGUACUUCUCAUUCUCCCCCGAUCCUUCCCCUCAUUCACUGAAGGCUGACACCUGGCUCAGUCCUGCAUCUUGGGGAAUGGUAGAAUCCAUGUGAAUUCAUCACCCAGAUCUGUCAGCCCCUCAGCUCCCUAAUUUGCAGAGACCUUUCUCUCCAUUCCACUUUGUCCUACCUCUGGAUUUACCACCUCUCCAAUACUAAAUUUAAGCCCCCUACUUUGGCCACAACCUUUUUCCACCUCUCUUUUACUUUACCAUUUUUGGAUCCAUGAGACACUCUAAUCCCUUAACUCUUUCAUUUUCUCCUAAUCAGCUCCACCCUGUCUUCACCUCUUUUCCUAUCCAGCGUAGUUUCCACCUCAGCGGUCUAUCAUCUCAACCACUCUUCUGCCAAUGCCUGUUUCCUCUUCUUUUUUCCUUCCUCAAGACCCCUAUCCUUGGAUCACUUGUCUGUCCAUUUACUCCUAGGAUGUAAUUGUUGCUGAAGAAAACACCACGAUCCUUCAAAUUGGCGUCACUACAGAUGUAUAACCCAUUCCAGAGCGUGUUGCCGUUGAGUUGAUUCUGACUCAGAGACCUUACACGACAGGGUAGAACAGCCUGUAGGGUUUCCAAGGCUGUAAUCUUUAUGGAAGCAGACUGCCACAUCUUUCUUCCAAGGAGCAGCUGGUGGGUUCAAACCACCAAUCUUUUGGUUAGCAGCCAAGCACUUAACCCCUGUGCCACUGAGGCUCUUAUAUAUUGCCCAGAAACCCUUCCAUCUUUUCAGGGACUGUUUAUCAGUCAGUGAUCUCCUAACCCUCCUUUAUCUCCCAUUCAACUUGCUCCUUCCCAAUCACAUUUAUCAAAACCAAACCACACCUGUUGCCAUUGAGUUGAUUGCGACUCACAGUGGUCCUAUAGGACAUGGUAGAGCUGUCCCAUAAUGUUUCUAAGGCUGUGAUCUUAACGGAAGCAGACUGCUACUGAUCUUUCACUUAGCAGCCAAGUGCCUUACCACUGCACCACCAGGGCUCCUUCAAUAAUAUGUAAAUGUUUGUAUCUCCCUAUCUGCAGAAGAAAUCUUUUGGGCUUCUUUAGCUGCUACCCUAGCUUUCUACAUCCAUUCACAGCCAAGUUUCUUGAAAGAAUUACCUGCAUUCUCUGUCUGCUUCUUCACGUGUGCACUCGUUUUCCAGCCCUUUGACCCCACCACUCCACUGAAACUGCUUUCACCAAGAUGACCAAUAACCUCUCAUUUGGUGAAUUCAGAGGGUAUUUCUUAGCUCUUAACUUGCCCACUCCCUUCUUGAAAUAGGCUUUGCUUGGCUUCUGUGACUUCACAUUCCUGUUUUUUCUCCUCCUUAUCUGGCUUCUCCUCAGUUCCCCUUCAAGGAGGCUAUAUUGCUUGGAUUAGUGGUCAGACACUACUUAAGAGCUUGGACUCAGGAGUCAGAGAGAUCUGGGUCCAUAUCCUACCUCCACUUCUCUGGGUUUCAGUUUCCUCAAUUAAUAUGGCUAUAAGUACAAAAAAGUAAGCCUUAUUUUUGUGAAGGUUCAUAGUGUGAAGUCAAUGAAAUUAUACAUGUAAAGUCCUUAGCAUGUGUUUGACAUACAGUAAGCAAACAAAACUUCCCUGACUCUCCAAACCUAUGAGAGGCGCCCUUCCUUUGUGCUACCAUACUACCCUUUUUCUCUCAUCAGACUGUGUUUACCUUGCUCAUUAUUGUGUCAAUCCAGCAUAUUGCCAGGCACAUAUUAUUGUUGGCUGCUCCAAGUAUUUAAUAUAUGGUAAAGGUAAUAUUUUAAAUCAAUGGGGCAAAAAUGUAUCAUUGAUAAAUGAAAAAUUACUUAGGAAAAUAUGAAAAUCAGGUCCUUCGUACCAUUUACCAAAAGAGUUUCAGAUGGAUUAAAGCACUAAAUUAAAAACUCAAGAAAACUAGAAUUAAAUAUACAUGAAUAUUUUCUUGAUCUUGGAGGUAAAAAAAGGCCUUAAACAAGCAGCAACAACUAUAAAGGAAAAUAUUGAUUUACAUCAAUAAAAAAUUAUGUGAGAAAACAAAAUUAAAAGACAAACCAGGAAAAUAUUUGUACCGUUUCUGACAAACCGUUUAUUCAUUCAACAAAUAUUGUGUGUCAUGUCAGAGUUGGCGAUAAUAGAACUUGCUCUUGCUGUCUUAAGCAGAAGGGCAUUUUAUCCUGGAAAUUAAGGCUUACAAAUUUGUUGGAAGGGCCAGAGAAGUACUGUAGUCUGGGCUUCCAGGAAUGAGAACACUGUAGAACUGUCCCACUAAAGAUCUGCUGCCUACCUCUGCUGUAAUCAGAGAGCUGAUCUGGAAGGUGCUGGCUCCAGAAUAUGCCAACAUUGGGUAGGGACAGGAGUAAGGGAGUGGAAAGGAAGAUAGUGAGCUAGUGUUAGUAUUCUUGAUAAAAGAAAGAACUCAUAAAAAUCAACAAUAAAAAGAUCAACAGAAUCAAGUAAUACAAAAGUAAGUAAAUUAAAAUGUGCAAAUAAAUGAGCAAUAAAAUGAUGAUUGCUUUUUUUUCCUACUGUAGCAAACAUUUUCUCACAGUUUAGAAGUCUGAAUUCAGGGUGUCAGCUCUAGGGGAAGGUGUUCUCUCUCUGUUGGGUCUGGGGGAAGUUGCUGAUCUCUUUUGAGGCUCCAGCUCCUGGCCAGUCUUCAUGUGAUUACUAAUCUUUGUCGAGUGUCUUGUUCUGUGUCUGGGAACUAACCUAGGACUUAAUAUGCACUAACUCAGUUGACCCGUCCAAUAAUCUUAUGAUGUAGGAACAAUAAUCUCCAUCUUACAGAUGAGGAAGCAGGCAAAGGGAGGUUAAAUAAUUUGUCCAAGGUCGGAGCAGUUGAAAGGAAGAACAGGCAUUUAUGCCCAAGCUCUUUCGAUUCUCUUGUACCUCAAUGGAUUUGAUAAAGAAAAUGAGACAAUCAGGUGAUACUAUGACUCAAGAAUUGGGGUGCCAUUGCCAAAAUCAGGGGACCUGAGAAAGAAACUGACUUAAAGAGGGCAUGAUGAGUUUGUUUCUAAGUUGUUUAGCUUGAUAAAAUAGAGUCAUGUCCUUUUAGAAAUAGCUUUCUGAGCUGUGGGAGAGUCCUCUGUACCUCUAGUACCUGAUAAAGAAUCCAUAUUCCGCAAUAUAACAAACGAACAAACCCAGUGCUGUCAAGUCGAUUCCAACUCACAGUGACCCUAUAGGACAGAGUAGACCUGCCCCAUAGGGUUUCCAAGGAGAACCUGGUGGAUUCAAACUGCCAGCCAUCUGGUUAGCAGCUGAACUCUUAACCACUAAGCCACCAGGGCUUUCAUACACUGCUCUGUCUUCUCAAUUAAAGGAUCUUAUUAAUCUAGUCUGCUCAAUUGCACCUUAAAUUACUAUUGCUGCCUUUUAACUAAAUCCCUUCCCCUGCCCUGCACUAAGGGAAUACCUUAAUAAAAAGAGGAAGAUUUAAGCCCCAAAUCUUUUGUCUUUGCUUUUUCUCAGUUUCUUUUAGAUCUACUUUAAUUGACCACUAUGAUGGAGACUGAAUAUAAUAUUCCUGUACAAACUUUUGUUGCCUUUUAACAAUUUCAUGAUCUUUUUUUUUUUUUAUCAGCUAGCCAACUAGAAAUACCCUGCUUUCCAUUUAUUCUCAGGCCUCAGUUGUUCCAGCAGAAUCAUCCCGACACCCUUCCUAGCGAUUAACUAUCUUUCAGGGUAUAGAUAUGUGAUGGUAAACACUAAGCGGAAGCUGGCUUCCUCUUGCUCCUUGACCUUGGCCCUUUCACCACCUAGCUCUCCUUGCAAGGAGUGUUAUUGUAAUUUCAGACUAAAUUAGACAUAACUAGUAAGUUAAUUUUUUUAAGUUUCUGGCAUAUUCCAAAACUGUGUAAUUUCUAAAGUGUAUUUCAGAGCCAAAUAAUACAGUGUUUUAGUUUCAGAUUUCCUGUAGACCACUCCCUCCAUUAGAGAAGGAGUUUGGGCUUUGGAGUUAGACAGGUUGCGCCUGGAAUCCAAGCUCUGUUGCUUAAUAACUGUGACCCUGGGCAAG